CCUCAUUUCACCUCAUCAUUAGGCAUUUGAUCAUCUUACACCAUUACAAGAAGGGAUGAAUUUGCCAACUUGUAAUGUUUCAACAUCAUGAGAAAGGCAGGAGGUUUGCAAUCAAAAUAAAGGAACUAGGAUCCCACAUGCUGUGCAGCAACUAAGCUACAACUGCGGAGAAGCAGGGGCAACAGAAGAUCCUGCACGCAACCAAGAGAAUCUCCUUAGACAUGGCUGGAACCCGAUUCAGCCAAAUAAAUAAAUAAGAAGAAGAAGAAAAUUAAUUCAAAAGCUUCAAUUGUGGUAGCUAGAAAACAGAUCUUAUUUAUGACCUUUUCCAAACCACCAUGAUGCUAAAAAGGUGACAACACUCUUCAGAAAAAACAUUUUG
rnacentral:lncRNA from 1 species